CUCCCUCCUCUGUCUACUCACCAGGCCUCUCUGAGGACGCAGGAGGCGGGGUUGCCGUGGGGGAGGAGCACCCUGCAGAUGGCGCCCUGACUUUGGCAAGGAAGGGGCUCCAGGGUCACAUGGAGGUCAAAGGAGAGCGGGGCAUGGCGAGGGCUGCUCACACAGGGUCCUGGCCACCCACGGGAACUAACUGAAAGAGCAGGGGGCAUUGAGGCCCUGAAGACACAGGGAGAACGCAGGCCACCUGGGCGGAGGGGACGUUUCGCUCAUGCAGUCAUCAACAAACUUUAACUGAGGGACACAAGGGAAUCUCCAGAGAUUUAAGGAGUAAGUGCAUGAAAAGAAAGAAGGAAGGAGAGAGGACAGAGUCCCUGCACUGUCGGAACUCUCCUUGAAUAUAAGAUGACGGCUCAGAUGAAAAAAAUACCUACAAUGCAGAAUCAUGCAGGAGGUGCUAUAAAACUCUCCCAAAAUGAAGAAAAGAGAAAAAUCCUCGCCUUCGGGAGUCCACCUUGACAGCCCCAGCCCCGCACCCAGGGCCUGGCACACAAACAGCAAGCCGGGCCUCGGUGGAGUAGGUGCACCUGGGGCUGCAGGGCAGGGGGACCUGGACAGGUCUCAGAGGGGGCUGCUGAGAGGAGGGGAGGGGCUCGGUGGAAGGGUCAGUGGCCUGGCCCGGAAACCAUCCCGGAGGAGUUCCCUGGGAGCCGGAAGUCUGCAGAGCUGUCCCCAGGAGGCCACUGCAGGGGCCCCUUGCAGAUUCGUAGGUGGAAGCCUUCACCCCUGCCUGGUACCUCAGAAUGUGACCUAUUUUGGCGCAGGGCCUUUCCAGAGGUUUCUUACAACCACCUUUCAAACAUGGCCACUGGCAAUGACACAUAGCCUCCUGGAAAGCUGACCAGAUUGACUUCCACCCUCUGUGCUACUGACAUCAGAGGCACCGUGGGCAGAUCUGAACGUUAUCGAAGCACCGUAUUCUGGAACUUCCUGCCAAAUUUGCCUAUGGCACAUGGCUGAUUAUUUCAAGGUUGUCGUCUCUUUCCCUCUGGCUCCAGGCCAACUCCUGUACUCCCUAAACCGUGUGGCUGCCGACAGCAUGCAGAUCUGACAUCUGUCAGUCAAGCUUUGAGACAGAGAGCCAGCCAGUACUCUUCGCCUCCCACAUCCAAGUCCCUGGGGAAGAAAUUCCACCAGGCCUGCUCAUCCACAUGAAGUGCCUAGCACCAUGCCUGACAGUGAGAAGCAUGCGGCAGUGUCAGCUGGUCUUAAUACUGGAAGUGGUGAUAGGAUUUUUUAAUAUCCAUAAUAAUUACUAGGGCCUCUGUGUCGGUGUCUGCACAGCUCUGUUUUGUGGAUGACAGUGUUCUUGUGUGGAAUCAGCGGAUACUUAACAGCCACCUGGGCCUCUGUGGCCAAGCCCACUUCAGGCUUCAGAAGCUGGAACAACCAUAGCCAUAGGCAGCUAAAUAGGCUAACUCCCCACAACCUACCAGCUCCAUUUGGACAGCAUAAAUCCUGCUUGACAGCCCCCAGCUCUGAGCCCAUGACUAAGAAAUUCUCUUUUAAGUAGAAGAUAACAUGGUUGGACAGUGACUACCAUUUGCAAACAAAAAUUCGAAAGAAAAUGGGUGCCCCGAGAAGGCUGCGCCAGGAAGCACAGGAGCAGGGAGGGAGAGAAACCCUUCCAGAUCACACCCGCAAGGAUCACUCCUCCAACCAGACCCCACCUCCUAACAGCAAGGCAGCUGUGCUGCCCAUGUGGCUGAGUCACCUUCCAGAACCCCCACCUAUGAGUGCAUGAGGCCUCUGGGGGACAUUCUUGGUCUAAAUCACAAUAAUCUUCAGUACUGAAACACACACACACAAAACAAAGGGCUAGAGGUGUGACUCAGUAUUCCCUGGCUUUAAUCUCCAGUGCUGUAAAUAAAUAAGUAAAUUUUAAAAACAGAAAAUAAUAAGUAAAAUGAGGAUGUGGAGAAAUCAGAACCCUUGUGGCAGGUAGGAAUGUAAAAAUUGUACAACCGCUAUGGAAAACAGUAUGAGGGUUCCUCAGAAAUGUAAAGUAGAAUUACCGUAUUACCCAGCAACACUACUUGUAGAUAUAUACCCAAAAGAAUUGUUUGUUUAUUUUUUUUACUGGGGAUCAAACUCUGGUCCUUGCACCUGCAAGGCAGGCAGCGGAACCACUGAGCUAAAUCCCCAGCCCUAUACCCAAAAGAAUUGAAGGUAGGAUCUCCAAGGAAUAUGGGUGUAUUCAUGUUCAUAGCACCAUUGAUUAACAUAAGCCAAAAGAUGGAAGCAAUCACCAAAUGUCACUGACAGCUAAAUGGAUAAGCAAAAUACAAUGCAUGCAUACAAUGGCAUAUUAUUGUAUCAGUCUGCUCAGGCUCCCAUAAUAAAACACUAUAAACUAAAUGACUUGAACAACAUGGAUGUAUUUUCUCACAAAUAUAAACUAGAUGUCUAAGAUCAAGUCUCUGCCUGAUUCAGCUUUGGAUCAGGGUCUCGUCCUGGCUUGCAAAUAGCUGGCUGCUCCGUG
ensembl:lncRNA